rnacentral:rRNA from 1 species
CAGCCGCCGCGGGAAUACGUAGGGUGCAAGCGUUAAUCGGAAUUACUGGGCGUAAAGCGUGCGCAGGCGGUUAUAUAAGACAGAUGUGAAAUCCCCGGGCUCAACCUGGGAACUGCAUUUGUGACUGUAUAGCUAGAGUACGGCAGAGGGGGAUGGAAUUCCGCGUGUAGCAGUGAAAUGCGUAGAUAUGCGGAGGAACACCGAUGGCGAAGGCAAUCCCAUGGGCCUGUACUGACGCUCAUGCACGAAAGCGUGGGGAGCAAACAGGAUUAGAUACCCGUGUAGUCCCUGUCUCUUAUAA